rnacentral:misc_RNA from 1 species
UAGAGUUCUUGCCCUAUAGGGUAGCUCUCCCAUCCUAUGUUAACAUACCUUUGUUGCUUUGGCAAGCCUGAUAGGCGCAGGUCUAGCCACUGGCGUCAGCCGGUGAGAGCUUGCCAGAGGACCCUCAAACUCUGAAUGUUAGUGUCGUCUCAGUACUAUAUAAUAGUUA